CCCAACCCUACUUCAAAAGCUUCCAGGAUCCAGACUAAGUCCCAGCAUAGUCACCAAGCAAAUACUCUAUCAAAAAAGGCAGAGGAGAGAUCCUAAAUUGAUUAAUGAAGGACAAUGGAGGCAGCCCUCAAAAUGGUGAGUCGGAGAAAUGGCUGCAGCCAACACAAGGAGGCACUGUGGGGCAGAAAGUGGAAUUCUCCAGUAGAUGGCACUAGGAUACAUGUGUGGCACCAAUGGGCACUGUUACCAAGACAGGAACAGCUUUCACACCUUUGUAGGCAAGGUCCGAUAUGGAGUACCAUAUGGGCUAAAAUUGGGUACCUUUUCUGUAGGCUAAAGAAGACUGUCAUAAGACCUGAGCCACUGGUUGAGAUUAUGAGCUUGAAAAGGAAGAGAAAGGCAAGAAAAAUGUUGUCAACUUGUACUCUGGGCACUUGGAAAAAAUACUCUGGUUAUUUACAAAUGGACUAUUUGGUAGCAUGGUAAAGGUUAACUUUGGUGCUCUGAAACCAGAUGGAAGAUGUGAAAUCUCCUUCUAGAGAAAAAAUGAACUAGAUGAUUUCUCUGGUUUUCUGAUCUCUAAUUAAUAGUAGCUGAAAGGAGAAAUCAUAACCCACGCAGAAGGGAAGAAAAGAAAAAUAAUGCAUUACCUUCAAAAGUAAAAUUCCAUUUAGUAAAUUUCCUAAGCAGAUUUCUGUCCUAUCAGGCCUCAGUCUUUGUGUUUUUCCUUUGUGUUGAGGAAUGUCGGGAACUGAGUUGGUAAUAAAUUAACAGCAAUAAUAAAUGCUAACA
rnacentral:lncRNA from 1 species